rnacentral:rRNA from 1 species
UARACGACUCUCGGCAACGGAUAUCUCGGCUCUCGCAUCGAUGAAGAACGUAGCGAAAUGCGAUACUUGGUGUGAAUUGCAGAAUCCCGUGAACCAUCGAGUCUUUGAACGCAAGUUGCGCCCGAAGCCUUCGGGCCAAGGGCACGUCUGCCUGGGCGUCACGC